UACGAGGGGGGCAAGCGUUGUUCGGAAUUAUUGGGCGUAAAGGGCGCGUAGGCGGUGCGGUAAGUCACCUGUGAAAUCUCCGGGCUUAACUCGGAGCCUGCAGGCGAAACUGCCGUGCUUGAGUGUGGCAGAGGGGGGUGGAAUUCCACGUGUAGCAGUGAAAUGCGUAGAGAUGUGGAGGAACACCGAUGGCGAAGGCAGCCCCCUGGGCUAACACUGACGCUCAUGCACGAAAGCGUGGGGAGCAAACAGG
rnacentral:rRNA from 1 species